rnacentral:tRNA from 1 species
UGGCUUAGACGGUAAAGCGUCUGCCUGCAAUGUGGGAGACCUGGGUUCGAUUCCUGG